rnacentral:rRNA from 1 species
ACUCCUACGGGAGGCAGCAGUGGGGAAUAUUGCACAAUGGGGGAAACCCUGAUGCAGCGAUGCCGCGUGGAGGAAGAAGGUUUUCGGAUUGUAAACUCCUGUCUUCAGGGGCGAUAAUGGCGGUACCUGAGGAGGAAGCUCCGGCUAACUACGUGCCAGCAGCCGCGGUAAUACGUAGGGAGCAAGCGUUGUCCGGAAUUACUGGGUGUAAAGGGAGCGUAGGCGGGACGGCAAGUCAGAUGUGAAAUUUAUGGGCUCAACUCAUAACCUGCAUUUGAAACUGCUGUUCUUGAGUGAAGUAGAGGUAAGCGGAAUUCCUGGUGUAGCGGUGAAAUGCGUAGAUAUCAGGAGGAACAUCGGUGGCGAAGGCGGCUUACUGGGCUUUUACUGACGCUGAGGCUCGAAAGCGUGGGGAGCAAACAGGAUUAGAUACCCUGGUAGUC